rnacentral:rRNA from 1 species
AAACGGGUGGCGUCAAGCUGCACACCCAGAGAAUUCAGUCGGCUAGGAUGUUGUGUAUGCGCUUGCGCAUCUAUCAGUCGGUGUAAGAUUGGAUAGUCCGCUGGAAAACAGUGGGCCCUGCCGCAAGGUAGGGAUGUGUGUACCGGGUGGAAGCCGGAGCACGCUAUUCGUCUGUUGGACUGCCUAGCCGGUGCACUUUCUCUGUGGUGGACACCACGACCGGUGGAACUGUCAGUCUGCUAUGGUCAAGUCGUGUUCGGUGCGUCCUUGUGGCAAACUGGAUGCGAUCACGGGCAAACUCGGUGUACGGUGUGAGUGCAUCUUUCGAGGUGUAUUCACACGUUAUCGGCCACUGGUUGUCUUAACGGGCCUGCCUAGCGAUUGUUAUAGCCGUCGUUGGGUGGUCUGGUGGACUAUAGCGGUAAGAAUAACUGUGCAGGGCACCGGAGAUUUCGGCCUCAAAUGCAGUCUGCAUGCACGCUAUAAGUGUGUAUGUCGGGUGUCGUGUCAGCCUGCCUGUUGUUGGGUCUGACUGUCGUGCUGCCUGCGUAAAGUGGGUCCGGCAGUGGCUUGAUGCAGGUUGGAGUUGUGCACGGUGCCUGCUGUGUGGAUUGUGGUGGGCCAGAUAGUCAGUGGUGUAGUGGUAGACGAGCUACCCGACCCGUCUUGAAACACGGACCAAGGAGUUCAACAUGUAUGCAAGUCAAAGGGUCCUACGAAACCCCAAGGCGCAGUGAAAGUGAAGCUGCGGCUCCCUCGUGGUGUCCGUAGUGAGGUGAGAUUCUGCCGUUACUCGCAUCACCUGCCAGUAGCAGGCAAAGAGCGGCAGACGCAUCACCGGCCCGUCCCUUGAUGUGGUCAUUGGAAUAGGCUGCAGUCGGUCUCCGGUUGUAGUACUGCCAGUGCGUCAUUGGGGCGGAGCAUGAGCAUACACGUUGAGACCCGAAAGAUGGUGAACUAU